rnacentral:rRNA from 1 species
UACGUAGGGUGCGAGCGUUAAUCGGAAUUACUGGGCGUAAAGUGUGCGCAGGCGGCCGCGCAAGUCGAGUGUGAAAUCCCCGGGCUUAACUUGGGAAUUGCGCUCGAAACUACGUGGCUGGAGUGUGGCAGAGGAAGGUGGAAUUCCACGUGUAGCGGUGAAAUGCGCAGAUAUCAGGAGGAACACCGGUGGCGAAGGCGGUUCUCUGGGCAUUACCUGACGCUGAGGAGCGAAAGUGUGGGAGCGAACAGG